GUUAAUCCGAGCCCAACAUGUUGCUUGGAUGUUUAAUAGUAUGUUUAGUCGGUUGCAUAGAUCGUCGAAACGACUUUUCCAUCUGGCUUAGUUCUAUAAAAGGAAUUGUGGCAAAGAAAAGCGUCUAGAGACUUUUAUGCUUUUGAUAAUUAAUAAUCAAGUUUGAGCUUAAAAGGAUGCACUAUUAAGGUUUUCUUGUUGUGAUUGAUUUUUGGAAGUUCCAUUCUCAAUACAUGGUACUCACUUUGCUGAAAAUUGUCAUUUGUAAUGACCGUUAUUAGAAGAAUAAAAUCCUUUGUUUCUAGACGGCUCUCUUUGAAAUGAUUUGCCAUCAAAUAUAUAAUGCAUGCGAGUGUGACCUCAUCACAUUUUAUAUCAAAGAUAUCUUGUACACAUAUCUCUUUACACGUAGUUCUGACCUCUUCUUUUUUUUUUUUCCCAAAGAGGUAAACCAAAUCUUGCAAAAUAGCUCCAAAAAGUUCACCUAUUUUUUUCUUUUUUAUUAAAAAUGAUAUAUUUUAAAAUCCGUAUAUACCAAAGGAACCCAAUUAAUUACAAUAUUAUUCCAAACUUGUUGAAACAAAAAGAAGAUCACUACAACAGGAGCAUACAACUUAUCUCGCUGCCCUCUAUGCGUCUAUAAAUAGUGGCUUCAAGAAACUUCAUCACCAUCAUCUCAGCAACAAACCCUUUAGGUACUUCUCUACACCUAUAUAUACGUCUAACUAUAUACAUAUCUCAUAUAUAUAAACAUCUUCAGUAUUUGCUAUAAUGAUCAAAAUAUUUGGUGUUUAAUCAAGUUCUUGAUAGCCCUCAGGUUCAAAUUAAAAUCCCAUAUAUUUUUCAAUUGUUAAUCAAAAAUCGAUGUUUAAUGGUUUGGGAGGCAUUGAUAGUGUUGACAGAAGAUAGAGAGCACAGAUGAGAAGAUACAAUUCUUCGCAGCUUCUUUGCAUCUUACUCCUUUGUGCUCUCUAAGCUUCUGUCAUCACCCGUUAUUUUGCGGUCGCCCAUCUUCUUUGAAAUAUUAUCUAUAUAUACACAACUAUGUUUAUGUCUUGUUUCUUCCAUGGCUUAAUUUUGACUUGCAACUAUAGAAAUGCAAAUUUUAGCCUAAAAAUGUUUUCUUCAAGAGAUAUUGAUCAUGUUCUCAGUUAAAUUUAUAUAUACUCUAAGUUUCUAUAUUGAGUUUUCUUAUCUUCUUCUUUUUUUUUGUUGCAAAGAGUUUUCUUAUCUUCAAAUAUAUAUGGGUUUGAGUUUUAAGGUAUUUUAGUUUGGUUUCAUCCAAAUUUGUUUGUUGAUUCAAUUAAAGAUAGAUGAUCAAACUUCAUUAAUCCAUGCAUAUAAAUCUGGAUAGUGAUCAUUUGAUCAAUGAGAUAGAAACGCUUAAUAGGUUCAAAGAUUUUAAAAGUGGAAAUAUGUUUUGUAUUUGGUGUGGUUGUAAUCAAUUGUUGAGAAAGUAUGUAAUAAGUUAGAGUUACAAUUUCUACUAGUACGUAUCUUAAUUUAUAUCUUUGGGGCCGGGAAACCAAAAUGAAACAAUUUCAGUCGUUUCAACUAUCUCAAAGAGCCCUGGCCAUGGAUCUUCAAGCAUCACUUUGUUUCAUUGCGGAGAUUAAGGGUUCUCCAUUUGGCAAAACUUUCUCACGCGGCUUCAAAACAGCACCAACAGUCAUCUAUGCAACAUGGUGAGAGCGAAAAUAACCGGAUCUUCAACAGUCGCAGCAUAAGAUCUAUUCAAAAUUUGAUCGCACGCGGAAUAAAAAACAAUUAUCUUGUGAGGCAGUUUAUUCGACUAUUCACGGAUACUUAGCGUUAUGAUUCAGCCAAACUCCGAGCUUAUAGUUGUUGUCAAUUCUCGAAAUUGCUAUGAGUUAUAAAACUUGGAAGCAUGAGGUUGCAUUGACAACCCUUUCUUUUAUUUCAUUGUAAUAGUUUCAUUACAUAUAUAGCAAUAAAUUCAGAAAAGUUUUUAAACAUUGACAAGAUUUAUAUGUAUAAACCUCGAUUUGAUAAGACUUUUUAGUCUAUAAAUUAUUUCAUGUCUGAAAAUGAAAGGCUAACCAAAAAGUGUUUACUUAAUUAGAAAAAACGUUACUCCUCAAGUUCAAUAUCGCAGUCGAUUUUUGGAUAGUGAAAACGAUUCUCAUCUCAAAUUAAACGUUAAAACUUAAAGAUCUCACUGUUCAGCAUCGUUGGAAAACUAACUCACGCCCUCAAAGAUCAUCGUUCCAGAGUACUCAAGUCUUAUUAUUCACGUAUAUCUAACAAUCUCGUUCUUGUUUUGUUUCCGGGAUCUGAAUACAAUUCACAGAAACUAAAAUAAAACUAAUUUUCAACCCUAACAAAGUAACACAUCCUCUCUGUGCAUAUAAAACAUAACUAGACCUAUAAGUCCAUUUAUGAUCCUAUCUGAUCUUUAAAGCUGAUAGCUAGAUUUAAAGUUUUGUGUCAAAAGAGUACAUUGAUUUCAAAAACAGUGUAAUAUUCAGUAUCUUGGUAAUGUUACCACAUAAUCAUCAAAUUUAAACUGAGAUCAACAAUAGAAAAAUCAUGUCUUUAUCAAAAGCAAUAGUAAUUUGACCCAUGUAGAUUUGUAUAGAAAGAGAGAAGAGACAUGGGUCUAGAACUCUUUUAUUAGGCCCGGCCCAACACAAAAUUAUCAAAUUCAUUUAAAUAUUCAAAAAAAAAAAAAAAAAA